GCGGCCGGGAGGCGCCAGACCCGCCAGCGGCUGCGGGAUGCCACGUGAGGGGCGGGGACCCCGCGGGGAGGGGAUUAAAAGCCCCCGGAGCCGCGGGCAGCGCGGGUCCCGGGCAUGAGCUCCGAGUUGGGGCCCGGAGGGCCUCGGUGCCAGGCGGCGCUCGCGGUCCUGGCUUCGCUCUGCCGGGUCCGGCCGCCCCCUCUCGGGCUGGACGCGGAGACUUGUCGGAGCUUGGAGCGGCCCGAGCAGAGUCCCAGCGCGGCCGACGCAGGAGCUACCAGCAGCCUCCUCGCUGUGGUGGUGAUUGUGUGUGGCGUGGCCCUGGUGGCACUUUUUCUCUUUCUUUUUUGGAAGCUGUGCUGGCUGCCCUGGCAGAGCAAGGAGGCCUCCAGCCCCUCGUGUGCUGACCUUCCUCCAGAGGCCUUCCCGAGUCCCUGCUCCCGGAACACCAUGGCUGACAAGCUGAAGGACCCGAGUGCCCUGGGCUUCCUGGAGACAGCCGUGAAGAUCAGCCAUACAUCCCCUGACAUCCCGGCUGAGGUACAGAUGUCAGUCAAAGAGCAUAUCAUGCGCCACACGCGGCUGCAGCGCCAGACCACCGAGCCUGCCUCGUCCACCAGGCACACUUCCUUCAAGCGCCACCUGCCCCGGCAGAUGCACGUGUCCAGUGUGGACUAUGGCAACGAGCUGCCGCCUGCUGCGGAGCAGCCCACCAGCAUCGGCCGCAUCAAGCCCGAGCUCUACAAGCAGAAAUCUGUGGAUGGGGAUGACGCCAAGUCCGAGGCAGCGAAGAACUGUGGGAAGAUCAACUUCAGCCUGCGCUACGACUAUGAGAGCGAGACCCUGAUCGUGCGCAUCCUGAAGGCCUUCGACCUCCCCGCCAAGGACUUCUGUGGCAGCUCCGACCCUUAUGUCAAGAUCUACCUCCUGCCUGACCGCAAGUGUAAGCUGCAGACCCGGGUGCACCGCAAGACCCUAAAUCCCACCUUCGAUGAGAACUUCCACUUCCCUGUGCCCUACGAGGAGCUGGCCGACCGCAAGCUGCACCUCAGCGUCUUCGACUUUGAUCGCUUCUCCCGCCAUGACAUGAUCGGGGAAGUCAUCCUGGACAACCUCUUUGAGGCCUCUGACCUGUCGCGGGAAACUUCCAUCUGGAAGGACAUCCAAUAUGCCACCAGCGAGAGCGUUGAUUUGGGAGAGAUCAUGUUUUCCCUCUGCUACCUUCCCACAGCCGGCAGGCUCACACUCACAGUGAUCAAGUGUCGGAACCUCAAGGCGAUGGACAUCACAGGCUAUUCAGAUCCAUAUGUCAAAGUGUCACUGCUCUGUGAUGGGCGGAGGCUGAAGAAGAAGAAAACCACCAUAAAGAAGAACACACUCAACCCUGUCUACAAUGAGGCCAUCAUCUUUGACAUCCCUCCCGAGAACAUGGAUCAAGUCAGCCUGCUCAUCUCGGUGAUGGAUUACGAUCGAGUGGGCCAUAAUGAGAUCAUAGGAGUCUGCCGGGUCGGGAUCAACGCCGAGGGUCUGGGCAGGGACCACUGGAACGAGAUGCUGGCGUAUCCGCGGAAGCCCAUCGCUCACUGGCACUCCUUAGUGGAGGCAAAGAAAUCCUUCAAAGAGGGAAACCCUCGGUUGUGAUUUCAUUCACGUGGAUGCUGCGAGCAGAGAGACUGGCACCUGGAGUUAGGAUGGCAGGGCCGAGCCGCCAGCUUUGACAGCGAGAGCUCGUGUCCGUCUCCGAAACCACCUCCGACACCAUGAGUCGCCUGGCUGAGCGACACACACCGGACUCAGAAACGUUCAUUUUGCACUUGUUCAACCGUCUAAACAGUGUUGUAAGGUGGUGGUGGCGGUCGCGGCGUCCUUGGCGCUCUUUCUCCAGAUUCUUCACUGCGCCCUGUGUAGGUCAAGGCCGAGACACUUGUCAUGUGUUCAGAUCUGUCUUAGUCUUGUCUGUCUCCCCAGGUGAUGUUUUAUGUGGUUUUUUCACUUCUUAUGAAUCUGUGACACAAGAGAAGGGGGGGUGGUUUCAAACAGGGGCAAAAUGGCAAGAGUUGAGAACUCAGAAGUUUUUUCCACCCGAGACAAUGUACAUUAUUAGUUCAGGGAGGUGAGCAAAGCCUCUGAAUUUUGCCUCCCUCAAACUAGUGAAGAAGCAAGUGGCAAUGAGCAAGUGUUGCUUUUUCUGGGCUCUGCUGG